AACGAACGCUGGCGGCAUGCCUAACACAUGCAAGUCGAACGAGACCUUCGGGCCUAGUGGCGCACGGGUGCGUAACGCGUGGGAACCUGCCCUUAGGUUCGGAAUAACUCCCCGAAAGGGGUGAUAAUACCGGAUAAUGUCUUCGGACCAAAGAUUUAUCGCCUUUGGAUGGGCCCGCGUUGGAUUAGCUAGUUGGUAGGGUAAAAGCCUACCAAGGCGACGAUCCAUAGCUGGUCUGAGAGGAUGAUCAGCCACACUGGGACUGAGACACGGCCCAGACUCCUACGGGAGGCAGCAGUGGGGAAUAGUGGACAAUGGGCGAAAGCCUGAUCCAGCUAUGCCGCGUGAGUGAUGAAGGCCGUAGGGUUGUAAAGCUCUUUUACCCGGGAUGAUAAUGACAGUACCGGGAGAAUAAGCGCCGGCUAACUCCGUG
rnacentral:rRNA from 1 species